rnacentral:rRNA from 1 species
UACAGAGGUCCCAAGCGUUGUUCGGAUUCACUGGGCGUAAAGGGUGCGUAGGCGGUCGGGUAAGUCUGAUGUGAAAUCUCACAGCUUAACUGUGAAACUGCAUUGGAUACUAUCCGGCUUGAGGAAUGGAGGGGAGACUGGAAUACUUGGUGUAGCAGUGAAAUGCGUAGAUAUCAAGUGGAACACCAGUGGCGAAGGCGAGUCUCUGGACAUUUCCUGACGCUGAGGCACGAAAGCGUGGGGAGCGAACAGG